rnacentral:rRNA from 1 species
AGAGUUUGAUCCUGGCUCAGAUUGAACGCUGGCGGCGUGCCUAACACAUGCAAGUCGAGCGGUAACAGGUGUAGCAAUACAUGCUGACGAGCGGCGAACGGGUGAGUAAUGCUUCGAAAUCUACCUUAUGGUGGGGAAUAACUAGCCGAAAGGUUAGCUAAUACCGCAUACGUCCUACGGGAGAAAGCAGGGGAUCGUAAGACCUUGCGCCAAAAGAUGAGCCGAAGUCGGAUUAGCUAGUUGGUAGGGUAACGGCCUACCAAGGCGACGAUCCGUAGCUGGUCUGAGAGGACGACCAGCCACACUGGGACUGAGACACGGCCCAGACUCCUACGGGAGGCAGCAGUGGGGAAUAUUGGACAAUGGGGGAAACCCUGAUCCAGCGACGCCGCGUGUGUGAAGAAGGCCUGCGGGUUGUAAAGCACUUUUAGUGGGGAUGAAAUGUGCAGGGUUAACACCUCUGCAUUUUGACCUAACCCACAGAAAAAGCACCGGCUAACUCUGUGCCAGCAGCCGCGGUAAUACAGAGGGUGCAAGCGUUAAUCGGAAUUACUGGGCGUAAAGCGUGCGUAGACGGUUACAUAAGUCGGGUGUGAAAGCCCCGGGCUCAACCUGGGAAUUGCAUUCGAGACUGCGUAGCUAGGGUGCGGAAGAGGGAAGCGGAAUUUCCGGUGUAGCGGUGAAAUGCGUAGAUAUCGGAAGGAACACCAGUGGCGAAAGCGGCUUCCUGGUCCAGCACCGACGUUCAGGCACGAAAGCGUGGGGAGCAAACAGGAUUAGAUACCCUAGUAGUCC